CAUUUUCAGUGAAACAUUUUGGGGUAAAACAUGAGUGGAUGUCCAUUUCUGGGAGGACAGCACCAAUUACGCAGUAACGCCAGCGGGGCAGAAGAGGAGGAUGAUUCUCAGCAGGGCAUCAACAACGCCACUAAAGGAGGAAUCAUCUACGGAGAAUAUCUGCAGCUUGAGAAGGUGCUGAGUGCUCAAGUCUUGCAGAGUCAACUGAAAGGGAACAAAAUCCACGAUGAGCAUCUCUUCAUCGUUACACAUCAAGCUUACGAGCUGUGGUUUAAGCAGAUAUUGUGGGAGCUGGAUUCUGUGCGGGAGCUUUUCAUUAAAAACCAUGUCCGGGAUGAGAGGAACAUGCUGAAAGUGGUGAGCAGGAUCCACCGGAUCAGCAUGAUCUUCAGACUGCUGGUGGAGCAGUUUGCGGUGCUGGAGACCAUGACCGCUCUGGACUUCUUUGAUUUCAGGGAAUAUCUGAGCCCAGCGUCAGGCUUCCAGAGUCUCCAAUUCCGGCUUCUGGAGAGUAAGAUCGGCGUGGCGGAUAAUCUGAGAGUCCCUUACAACCGACGGCACUACAGAGACACUUUCCACGGACACGAGAGUGAAGUUCUUCUCAGAUCAGCGGAGGAACCCACACUGCUCCAGCUGCUGGAGCAAUGGCUGGAGAGAACUCCUGGACUUGAACAGGAUGGAUUUAAUUUCUGGGGGAAACUUCAAGCCAACAUUGAAAAGGGUCUCAAUCUGAAGCAGCAAAAACUUGAAAAAAUGACCGAUUCUGAGGCCAAACAGGAGACGCAGGAGGAUGUAAAGAAGCAGACAGAGGUUUUCUCUUCUCUGUUCGACCCCAAACGUCAUGAACAUCUUUUGAGAAAUGGUGAACGGAGACUUUCCUACAAAGCUCUUCAAGGAGCUCUGAUGAUAAACUUCUACAGAGAAGAGCCUCGUUUCCAACUGCCGUUCCAGCUCCUGACGGCUCUGAUGGAGAUCGACACACUCAUGACCAAGUGGAGAUAUAACCAUGUGUGUAUGGUGCACAGAAUGAUUGGUAGUAAAGCGGGAACAGGUGGAUCCUCUGGGUACCAUUACCUGCGCUCCACUGUCAGCGACCGUUACAAAGUGUUUGUGGAUUUGUUCAACCUGGCAUCAUUCUUGGUACCUCGUGCCUGGGUGCCCAAACUGAACCCCACCAUCCAUACGUUCCCCUACAUGGCCGAAUGUUAUGACAGCUCGUAUAACUCAUGCAGCAGUGAGGACUCCGAUUAAUCGAUCACUGCAAACUAAAUCUAAACAUCCUUCAAACAUGAUACUUUCUUGCACUUUUUUGAGGUUUGUCCUUACAUGACACGAGAGGUUGUGCAAAAGACCAGCGCCAAGAUGCCCACAGCUGAGAGUGCCAACAUGAAGCCCGUCUCUGCGUGAGGCGAUGCCGGUGGGCCCGGUGGGCCGACACACUUUGGGGCCGAUCAGGGGCGGACUGGCCAUCGGGAGAACCAAGUGGGCCUCUGGGUCGGCCUCGAAAUGGGCUGAAUGGGCCACGAUAACCUAAAAUGAGCCGCCGCGUUAUGCAGAAUGGACCACAAAAUUACAAAAUUAAUUUUUUUUUUUACAUUAAACUGUUUUUAGGACCAUUAGACAAACUACUAAAAAACACUGCACAUAAAAAAACAAAUAUGAUUUAUGUAUCAUAUUUGAAGCAUUAGGCUUUAAAGGUCAUGAUCCUCCUGAGGCACAGCGGUGCAUUUUUGUCUCUAUGUGUUAUUGAAGGUUUUCUACAGCGGUGAAUCUUGGGGUAUUAUCAGAGGACUUUUCAGAGACACCAAAUGUUUGACAAUUUGGCCAUAAAUAUAUAAAUAUGGAUUCAAUUGCAUUGACAUCUAUCACAGUUCAAAUACAAUAUGAAUCUAAUAUUAUGUUUUCCAUAAACAAUAUUGAUCAUAUGUAUUUUAUGCACCAAACUCUAUAUUGACAUUUUAAAAGGGGAAAUUGUCUCUUGAUCUUAUGGUUAGGGUUAGGGUUAAGGUUAUGGACAUCAAAACAGCUUAUAAUGUAAAAUAAUGAGAUCUUUAUAAUGACAGAGCACGCUACAUAUGUGAAAAUACACAGUUAAAGAAUUAUCAAAACUCUGUGAUUUGAUUUGUGGUGUGCAUGAAUGUAAUGUAAUGUAAUGUAAUCUAAUGUAAUCUAAUGUAAUGUAAUGGUGACUGAGAGAUAUUCCUCAAAAGUCUGUUGUAUCAUAUUUAAUACAUGGAUUUCAACAUGCGUUUUCAA